GAAGUGCGAAUCUGUGAAUAUAUUGCCAACUUUACUGCAGUCGCUGACACUACGACUCCCAGGACGUGAUGACCACAGAUGAUGACCACAGAUGGCCUGGUACACAGCAUGACAGCUUGUGCCAGGACGAGGAGAGCCGGGGUAUCUCAAAACCAGGGAACAUAAAAAAAAACUGCGAGGUUAGAUACCACUAAAGGUAAGUGACGAAAUCAGUGGUUCCCAACCUGGGCGGCAGGACACCCAGGCAGGGUCCCAAGAUAAGUCUGAAGGGUCCCAAUAUGACACAUAACACAACAGGGAAGCGUUUAUUUUGUCAGACUUUCCUUUAAUGUAAUACAAAGAACAAACACCUAAUUUGUAGAAGUGACUAAAAUCUUACAAUUACAACAUUUCUCCUUUUUUUAAAAUUGUAUUAGGGCUAAAUUGGGAAUGUAGCUGUUGCUUGUUUGUCACGUGUUGGCAGGCAUGUCUCCACCGGGGAAACCAGUCCUGCUUGGCUGCAGGUCCUCUGAGAGGGAGAUGUUUACCUGCUGGUGGGAGCCAGGCUCUCAUGGAGGGCUGCUGACCACGCACCGCCUCUAUUAUGAGUGAAAAAGGUCAGUACGAUUGCUAGGCGAGCAAAGCUGUUGUUGUGGGUGUCAGUGUAGUGUUGUAGACAGGCCCGGAUCUAGUGGGCUGCGUUGCUGGUGUGGGCUGCGCCAUGCAAAAGAGAGUGUUUCUGCUAAGCUAAAAUUAAAGAAGGGAAGGUGGUUAAAAAGUGCACACACUUAAAACUACAAGGAUAAUACGAUUGUGCCUGUUGACUGUCACAGUAUGCCCUGUUGACAUCUUUUUACUGCCCAAUAAACGUCUUGAUUCCAGCGAAACA